rnacentral:rRNA from 1 species
AUGCAAGUCGUGCGAGAAAGUACCCUUCGGGGUGCGAGUAGAGCGGCAAACGGGUGAGUAACACGUAAGUAACCUACCUCUAAAUCUGGAAUAACUCUGCCAACGCGGAGCUAAUACCGGAUGUGGUCACGAUGCUGCAUGGUAUUGUGACUAAAGGUGACCUCUCCUUGGAAGUUACCGUUUAGAGAUGGGCUUGCGGACCAUUAGCUAGUUGGUGAGGUAACGGCUCACCAAUGCUACGAUGGAUAGCCGGCCUAAGAGGGUGAUCGGCCACAUUGGGACUGAGAUACGGCCCAGACUCCUACGGGAGGCAGCAGUAGGGAAUUUUGCGCAAUGGACGAAAGUCUGACGCAGCAACGCCGCGUGAGGGAUGACGGCCUUCGGGUUGUAAACCUCUGUUGAGUGGGAAGAAAAGCUUUGUGGUUAAUAUCCACAGAGUCUGACGGUACCACUCGAGGAAGCUCCGGCUAACUACGUGCCAGCAGCCGCGGUAAUACGUAGGGGGCUAGCGUUGUUCGGAAUCACUGGGCGUAAAGGGAGUGUAGGCGGACCGGUAAGUUAGGAGUUAAAUGUACGGGCUCAACCCGUGAUCUGCUUUUAAUACUGUCGGUCUUGAGUAUGGGAGAGGGAGAUGGAAUUCCAGGUGUAGCGGUGGAAUGCGUAGAUAUCUGGAAGAACACCAGUUGCGAAGGCGGUCUCCUGGACCAAUACUGACGCUGAUGCUCGAAAGCUGGGGGAGCGAACAGGAUUAGAUACCCUGGUAGUCC